GACGAACGCUGGCGGCGUGCCUAAUACAUGCAAGUCGAGCGGAUCUUCAUUAGCUUGCUUUUGAAGAUCAGCGGCGAACGGGUGAGUAUCACGUGGGCAACCUGCCUGUAAGACUGGGAUAACUUCGGGAAACCGGAGCCAAUACCGGAUAAUCCUUUUCCUCUCAUGGGGAAAAGCUGAAAGACGGUUUCGGCUGUCACUUACAGAUGGGCCCGCGGCUGAUUAGCUAGUUGGGGAGGUAACGGCUCACCAAGGCGACGAUGCGUAGCCGACCUGAGAGGGUGAUCGGCCACACUGGGACUGAGACACGGCCCAGACUCCUACGGGAGGCAGCAGUAGGGAAUCUUCCACAAUGGACGAAAGUCUGACGGAGCAACGCCGCGUGAGCGAUGAAGGCCUUCGGGUCGUAAAGCUCUGUUGUCAGGGAAGAACAAGUACCGGAGUAACUGCCGGUACCUUGACGGUACCUGACCAGAAAGCCACGGCUAACUACGUGCCAGCAGCCGCCGUAA
rnacentral:rRNA from 1 species